rnacentral:tRNA from 1 species
GGACAUAUAACUCAGAGAGGUAGAGUAUUACGUUGACAUCGUAAUUGCCACUGGUUCAAAUCCAGUUAUGUCCA